UAGAUGAGGUGACUGUGCUGCACGGU
rnacentral:piRNA from 1 species